CACGUAGGGGGCGAGCGUUGCCCGGAUUUAUUGGGCGUAAAGAGCUCGUAGGCGGUUUGUCGCGUCGGAUGUGAAAACCCGGGGCUCAACCCCGGGCCUGCAUUCGAUACGGGCAGACUAGAGUUCGGUAGGGGAGUCUGGAAUUCCUGGUGUAGCGGUGAAAUGCGCAGAUAUCAGGAGGAACACCGGUGGCGAAGGCGGGACUCUGGGCCGAUACUGACGCUGAGGAGCGAAAGCGUGGGGAGCAAACAGG
rnacentral:rRNA from 1 species